UGAACGCUGGCGGCAGGCCUAACACAUGCAAGUCGAACGGUAACAGGAAGAAGCUUGCUUCUUUGCUGACGAGUGGCGGACGGGUGAGUAAUGUCUGGGAAACUGCCUGAUGGAGGGGGAUAACUACUGGAAACGGUAGCCAAUACCGCAUAACGUCGCAAGACCAAAGAGGGGGACCUUCGGGCCUCUUGCCAUCGGAUGUGCCCAGAUGGGAUUAGCUAGUAGGUGGGGUAACGGCUCACCUAGGCGACGAUCCCUAGCUGGUCUGAGAGGAUGACCAGCCACACUGGAACUGAGACACGGUCCAGACUCCUACGGGAGGCAGCAGUGGGGAAUAUUGCACAAUGGGCGCAAGCCUGAUGCAGCCAUGCCGCGUGUAUGAAGAAGGCCUUCGGGUUGUAAAGUACUUUCAGCGGGGAGGAAGGGAGUAAAGUUAAUACCUUUGCUCAUUGACGUUACCCGCAGAAGAAGCACCGGCUAACUCCGUG
rnacentral:rRNA from 1 species